rnacentral:rRNA from 1 species
UACGUAGGGGGCAAGCGUUGUCCGGAAUCAUUGGGCGUAAAGAGCGUGUAGGCGGCCCGAUAAGUCCGCUGUGAAAGUCCAGGGCUCAACCCUGGAAUGCCGGUGGAUACUGUCGGGCUCGAAUCCGGAAGAGGUGAGUGGAACUCCUGGUGUAGCGGUGGAAUGCGCAGAUAUCAGGAAGAACACCGACGGCGAAGGCAGCUCGCUGGGACGGUACUGACGCUGAGGCGCGAAAGCGUGGGGAGCGAACAGG